GCCUCAUGAGUUUAGUUGGUUAGACUUAGAGCGUUGUGCUGAUAACCUCAAAGUCACAAGUUCAAUUCUUGUUUGAGCCA
rnacentral:tRNA from 1 species